rnacentral:lncRNA from 1 species
GGGCCGGUGGAGGUGGCUCCGACCUCUGGUCUAACUCUGACCUAAGAGGGCACACCGGUUGCUCUCAAGCUAUUCUCGGUGCAGGAAGUCGACUCCGAUGAAUAGUCGGAGUGUUCGAUUCACUAUCUUUGUAUCUUUUUGCUUUUGCUUCAUCUUUGAUAUUUGUAAUCGGGCUUCAUCCCCAUUUUGUAACCAGGCUUCGGUCUAAUUUUGUAAGUCACUUUAACUUAAUAAAAUUAGAGACUUUUCAUACGGUUCGAAGUGUUUGACUUGCCGAGCCAUCCCCGAGAUUAUAGGUCAUAGCUCCGACAUAUCUCGUUCGGACGUUCGG